UUCGGCAGCACAUACUAAAUAUACUAAAAUUGGGACAACGCAGAGAGGACUAGCGUGGCCCUGUGCAGGGAUGACUUGCAAAUUCGUGAAAUGUUCCCUAUUUUA